AAGCACUUCUAAGCUUAUUGUCAUAAAAAUGUACUCUAAGAUAUAGUUAAACAAAGACAUAUCGCAUAAUGGUAUAAAAAGUAUAUUCAGUUACUAUAAAACAAUAUUAAGCUACAUAUCCUCAUAUAUUUCUUUAGAAUAUUGUAUUGGUUAAUCAGUUCUGUGUUUAUUAGUAUGUGUUUGCUGAAUAAAAUGAUUAUAUUUAUUGUGGGGAGUUGGUAUAAGAACAUAACACAUCUUAAUUCUUUUCUACUUCCCCUUGCACUCCCCUAACUUGAUUGUGAUUUGACUGGCUUGAGAGACACCUAGAUAAGUAAAGCACAUUUCCAGAUGUGUCUGGGUGGAUGAAGGAGGUGUGACUUUGGGGAUAAUAUCUUGCCCCUGGCUGUUCUUCUUGAGCUCCUCUCCUGCUCUCUGCUUGUUGAAUGCAAGUGAGUUCGGCAGCUUUCCUCCAUCUUGCCUUUCCACACUGAUGUUUUUAACCUUGGAGCCAGCACACCAGAGACUGAAACUUUUGAAACUGAGCAAAAAUAAUACUCUCCUUCUUUACAUUGGGAAUGUCAGGUACUUUUUUUCAGCAAUGAAAAAGCUGGCCAGCACAAAUAUAUCUUUUAUUGUUUUGUUUUGUGUUUAGCAUUGCUGAGGUUCAAAUUCAAGACCUCAUACUUGGUAGACAAGCACUUUAAAAUUGAUCUAUAUCUCCAAAUCCUAGAAUGUAUUCUUAAAAUUGAAAUUUUUAUUAUCAAUAGAAAUUUGUCUCACAUGUGUUUAUCCCAGAUAUCUAUGUGGUAACUUCCCCUGUCUUCAAGUUUCUUUCAGAUUUUUACCACUAUUUCAUAGUUCAAAUUGUCUCUAUCCUACUAAAUCUCACUCCUUAACCUAUUCUGUUUUCCUUUUUUACAGAUUCAUCCUUUUCAAUCACACAAUAUGUGUGUCAUUUAUUAUAUUAGUUUAUUGUUGUUGUUCUUGUUCACUAAAGAGGAAAGGCUCAGUAAAUAUUUAUGGGGUGGAAACAGUGGUAAUACUAUUGUAGCUCACUUUCCAAAGUUCUCACCAAAAUGGCUAUUUGAAUUCAAGCAUGGCAUGAAAACACUUUGUGUUUGUUAUGUGCAUACAUGCACAAAUGUGUGCAUAUUACAUGCACACAUUAGCACAGUGCAGAUUAAGUACCAAAAUAUACCAAAAUAAUGGUUAAUUGCCUUACUUAUAAACUAAUGUUUUUUAAUUUUAAAGGUGAUCAUUUUAUUUUAGAAUCAGGAAAUGAAAAGGAGGUGGUUCUCCUUGCCCAAAAAAGGAAGUGUUUACUUAUAUGAUACCCAUAGGAUCAUCUUCGCGGGUGCGACCAUACCCCAGGGAGGCCACAGUGGAGACCAGGACAGUAAUCAUGGAAGAGCCUGUCCCAAGCCUCUGGAGGCUGCCCACCGGGAGCUCUCUGCUGCUCUCCCCAACAUACUCUCCUCUUGCUUCUCUGAAAUAGGUUUCCUUCCAGGAAUGAGGCAUAGGAGACACCAUCUCAUGGCUCUCAUUUGAGUUCCUUUCUGGUAAAUGCCCUUUGCCAAAGAGAGACAUCUUGCCCUAAGUCACACCUUUUCUUGGAGUCAGGCUGUGUCAAGUGGCUGUCAGGUUUAUCCAGGGAGCACAUAAAUGUGUGACCCCCAUGCCCUGAUGAGGGUGCUGUAAGGAGUCCAUCUCCAUCUCAGAGUACUUUGUAAUCAGAUUUCUUCAAUGAGAAUCCCAGAGGCCACACAUCAGAGAUGAAUGACAGAUUUGAAAUAAAAGAACAAUAACUCAUCACAGCCAAGGAGGUGUAAAAGCACCUGUUUCUGCAGUAUUGGCCCUCAGGGUGUUGUGGAAUUAUAAGGAGGAAGUGAAGGUGUUUUGGCUCCUUUGUGGAAGAUGAGGUGGCUGAGUGUGUCUGGAGUUGUUUCUGCACCUUCUCAUCUGUUCCAGUGGUCCUCAGGUCUGUUUCUUUGCCAGUACCAUGCUUUUUUUUUUUU
ensembl:lncRNA